GGAGUUGUGGCUCAGUGGUAGAGCACUUGCCUAGCACGCAUGAGGCACUGGGUUUGAUCCUCGCACCA
rnacentral:tRNA from 1 species